AAGUCGUAACAAGGUCUCCGUAGGUGAACCUGCGGAGGGAUCAUUAACACAUUCCAAAACAACUCUCUUCAUUACCUUUGGCAACAAAGGUAUAUGAAACCCUAUUCACUAGCGAACCCAGGGCUGGGAGGAUGCGUCUUAUAUUAAUUAUAAUUAAUUAAUUAAUUAAUUAAUUAAUUAGUUAUGAGCUCCGCGCCUCUCACUGACCCUUAUUUCCUUUUUCCAUUUCCUUUUAUUUUAAACCCCAACAAAACAAACAUGCUUUUUUUAAACGUCUGAUUGAGACUUCCUCACCGAAGUCUCGUUGUUCUUCGAAAGAAGAGCAAUGAAAACUAAGAAUCUAAAAAUUAAGAAAACAACUCUUAGCAACGGAUAUCUUGGUUCUC
rnacentral:misc_RNA from 1 species